CCUACGGGAGGCUGCAGUGGGGAAUAUUGCACAAUGGGCGAAACCCUGAUGCAGCGACGCCGCGUGAACGAUGAAGGACUUCGGUGUGUAAAGCUCUAUCAGCAGGGGAGAAACUGACCGUACCUGACUAAGAAUCCCCGUCUAACUACGGUCCAGCCGCCGCGGUUAUACGUAGGGGGCCAGCGUUAUCCGGAUUUAGUGGGUGUAAAGGGAGCGUAGUGGGCGAUGCAAGCCAGUUGUGAAGGUCCGGGGCUCAACCCCGGGACUGCAUUUGGAACUGUGUGGCUGGAGUGUCGGAGAGGCAGGCGGAAUUCCUGGUGUAGCGGUGAAAUGCGUAGAUAUUAGGAGGAACACCAGUGGCGAAGGCGGCCUGCUGGACGAUGACUGACGUUGAGGCUCGAAAGCGUGGGGAGCAAACAGGAUUAGAUACCCCAGUAGUC
rnacentral:rRNA from 1 species